rnacentral:rRNA from 1 species
GACCGGCUUCUAACUGUCUGCAAGGACAAAUUUGACCAAUCUGACCU